UACGAAGGGGGCUAGCGUUGCUCGGAAUCACUGGGCGUAAAGCGCACGUAGGCGGCUUGCUAAGUCAGGGGUGAAAUCCUGGAGCUCAACUCCAGAACUGCCUUUGAUACUGAAGAUCUUGAGUUCGGGAGAGGUGAGUGGAACUGCGAGUGUAGAGGUGAAAUUCGUAGAUAUUCGCAAGAACACCAGUGGCGAAGGCGGCUCACUGGCCCGAUACUGACGCUGAGGCACGAAAGCGUGGGGAGCAAACAGG
rnacentral:rRNA from 1 species